GGGAGGCAGGAGCGACAAGGGAAAGAUCUCGCUCACCAGUUUCCCAGUAGCGAGCAGCAGGGAGCGACUCACCGAGGGCACAGAAGCAAUGCUGUGAUAUUUGUUUCUCUCUGUCACCAUGUGUUCGGGCCAGAAGGUCAACUGACUGCCAUCUACAAGAGGCCAAAUACUCUGUGGAGACCAGACCUGAGGUUCUGUCGAGACCAAAAGGAGAUGUCAGCUUAUCAGGCUUUAAAAAUGAUCCCCAGUACUGACAACGCAAGGCUCCUAGGAGGAGGUUUUUCUGGGUCACCCGUUGAUUCAGGAACAGUGAAAUCACCCACAAAUUCAACAGAGGCUGAGGAACCUCCUUGCUGAAAGGGAAGAAUAGCAGCAAAGGGCGUGAAGGGGACGGACUGGACCGAGGCUGGGUUCUGCAGGUCCUCCUCGGAGAUGUUGUCGUACUGCGAGGGAUGCCGCUCGUAGGACGCCCUGCAGCCAGAGCUGUCCCCCGUCUGGGAGGCCGCGCUCCUGCGCUUCUUCUCGGGAAGAGCAGGCGGCACAUCCAUCUGCUGCCCUGGGGCCGAGGGCCCCUCUGGCUGGGGACAGCUGCCCUGAGGCAACUGGAAAGGAUGGCCGAGAAACGGAGACCCAGACUCCCCCAAGGACUCUGGCAACGGGCUGAGGUUACAGGCCACUUGCUGAGGUAUCUGGUCUGCGUUAGAGAGGUCUUGCUGGAGGAAUUCGUAGUCAGGGUCGUAAUGAUCUGCGUUCACAACAGGAGAAACAUACUGUGAGCCACCAGCCCCCACAGAAAGAAAAGCUCCCACGCUUCUUCCCUGACCCAGCGCUGCUCAUUAGAGUGACCAAAACACGUCUCCCAUCUCAUCCGCAAAGACUCUCACUUUACUUUAUAUUUUUCAUUUUUCUCCUGCUUAUAAAAGUAAAACCAGAUGGGAAUUUGACUGUUUGCUAUCCAAUUCUUUGUACUU